GAUGAAGAACGUAGCGAAAUGCGAUAAGUAGUGUGAAUUGCGGAAUUCAGUGAAUCAUCGAAUCUUUGAACGCACAUUGCGCCCCAUGGUAUUCCGUGGGGCAUGCCUGUUCGAGCGUCAUUUACCCCCUCAAGCUCCGCUUGGUGUUGGGCGUCUGUCCCGCUUCGCGCGCGGACUCGCCCCAAAGGUAUUGGCAGCGGUCGUGCCAGCUUCUCGCGCAGCACAUUGCGCUUCUCGAGGCACCGGUGGGCCCGCGUCCAUCAAGCUCACCCCCCCAGUUUGACCUCGGAUCAGGUAGGGAUACCCGCUGAACUUAAGCAUAUCAAUAAGCGGAGGA
rnacentral:misc_RNA from 1 species